UGCUGCUGCUUUCAACAAGUGACCGUGUGACAACAUUAGCACAUCUGAGGGCACUGCCUGUGUGUACAGCAUCGCCUUGCCAGAGACAACUUCAGCAUGAAAACGGGACCACGGAGCAGAAACGUGUCUGCUGGUAACCGAAGCAAUGGCAGCUGCAUUGUGUGAGAUUCUUCUGCUGACACUUAUUGGAAAUCUUCAAAUGCACAAGAGGCAUGUUGGGAUUAUUGUACAGCCACGGACCUCAUUUUGAAGGCGUUCCUCCUUCCAGACAGGCGUUUACGAAAAGCACAACCAGAUCAACACCAGAAAGCCGGCUGCAUGCUGUGGGUAACGCAGUGCAAUGGUCACACCGACAUUCACACAGACCGUCCCUCAAGUCAUUCUGUAGCUCCUCUCUGUUAACAGCCCCUGCAUGCAGCAGCUGAGAUCUGCCGCAGUCCAGAAUAAUCACUCUUCGUCACAGCUCAAAAAAUGUGACUGAAGAAAAGAACAUUCAAAUGUGACUUUUCCGCUCUUUCCAAGCGGAGAUGUAACAACAUCUAGGCACUAUUCUACUUUCCAGAAGCUGAUUAAUGAAGGAGGACCGAUGGAUUUAAAACAGAAAGCGAAGAAACUCUAAGCACUGAAAGGAAUAUUUCCUUGUCUGAAAAGGUUCUGUAGGUAUUGCAUUUAUUCAGGGAUUCAUUGUCUAUUGGAACAAGUCUGACAACUGUCUGAAUGGAAACUUUGUGAAAUGUGGAUCCUAAAAUUCUCUUCUGUAUACAGGUCAGGUGUUUAGCAUGCAAAACCCUGUGGAAGCCAGGCCUUGUCUUUGUUACUCCCUGGUAGAAGUUCAAAGCCUUGCAUAAAAUGUGAUAAAAGGCCUCUAAUUCUGUUUAAAAUAUGUAAAGAAGUUCCGAUUACUUACAUA